AAUUUUGGACAAGGGGGGAAACCCUAAUCCAGCCAUCGCGCGAGUAUGAUGAAGGCCUGCGGGUUGUAAAGUACUUGUGGCAGAGAAGAAAAGGUAUCCCAUAAUACGGGAAACUGCUGACGGUAUCUGCAGAAUAAGCACAGGCUAACUACGUGCCAGCAGCCGCGGUAAUACGUAGGGUGCAAGCGUUAAUCGGAAUUACUGGGCGUAAAGCGUGUGUAGGCGAGUCGGAAAGAAAGAUGUGAAGUCCCAGGGCUCAACCUUGGCACUGCAUGUUUAACUGCCGAGCUAGAGUAUGUCAGAGGGGGGUAGAAUUCCACGUGUAGCAGUGAAAUGCGUAGAUAUGUGGAGGCAUACCGAUGGCGAAGGCAGCCCCCUGGGAUAAUACUGACGCUCAGACACGAAAGCGUGGGGAGCAAACAGG
rnacentral:rRNA from 1 species